UAACAUAGUAAUGAGACCCUCCAUGGCUCUCAUGGCCUAAUUAUCCUGAAAGGUCUUACCUGGGGGGGUGAGUGGUCCAUAUGCAGUCCCUAAGAUCAAGUGGCUUAAAGCAGUCGGAAGCCAUGCCUGCUAAGCGCAUCUUGGCCUGCAUCCACACAACCAUCGUCUGAACUUGUGAGUGAGCUGAGAAGAUAGAAGUCUCUCUGAUACCCAAGUCAGCUCAGUCAAGACCAAACUACCAAGCUGGUUAUCGGCAUCUGGGCAGCAGUGAAGACAUCUGGGAGCAUCCACAACUACAGGAUGGGAGCUAAGGUUCUGACCUCUGCAGCACAGCCGGACAGCUCGAGCUGACACAAAGGCUUCUACCCAUCCUGGGCCUUUCUCACAGGGAAGACCGCCACCACCACCACUACCACCACCCCUAAAAUGCUGCAAGAAACAAGGCAGUGGCCGAUCAGCUCUGUGCCUGCUCACUGAUUCAUCGAGACCAACUUGGUGGGCGAGCCCCAGGGAUCCUCCAGCCUUCACCUCUCCAGGCUGAGACUACAGGAGUAGGCCACUUGCCUGGCUUUUCACCUGGGUUCUAAAAUUUCAAACUCAGGUCCUUAUGUUUGUUUGUACAGCAAGCAGUCUACCAACCAAGCAUGUCUCUAGCCCGUCUGCAUUUAAUUAAU